ensembl:lncRNA
UCAUUGCUCUGGGGACCGUGCUACUGCUUGGUUUACUCUCAUACCUGCUGUAUCACCUCUGUGGGAAGCUCUACAAGGCUCUUAAGCACAGUGACUGCUCCUGCUGCGAAACCAGGCCCCGGGAAGACCAGGAAGUACUGAUCCCAGAACCAACACCUCCAAAGAGGGAAAUAUUAAUGGAAGUGAUCAAGAUCACCACUGUAUUUGAUGGAGAGGAAGUUGAUCCUGUUUUCAGUCACAGGGAGGGUGUACGAGUACAACAGUAAGUCUGGAGCCAGACGCUGGAAGGACGUCACCACUGUGUCUGAGUCUGUCCCUAUGAUACAGCCAGAGAGCAGCAGCAUGGUCAUUCCUCAUGGUCAGCAUGGUCAUUCUGCCCAAUCACAGGCUAGGAGUUGGAGGGCUAGCACUGGCCAAUCAAAAAUGAGGAGUGAGGGAGUAGGCAGGGCCACAGAGGAUAGAGGAUCUCCCUGGUCCAGUCAGAGCAGACAAACGUCUGGGCAGUCUGCAAGGUCUGCUCGGUUUGCUCUUUCAGAAGGAGGCGUAAAGUUAGAUAUGGUACCCAUGACAACUAGGGGAAGGCCCAACAUGUCUGAAGUCUGAUUCCUCACUGACAUAUAAUACACUACUUGUUUAGAAAUCUUUCAAAUCAUUAUUAUAGUGGAGCAUAGGAUUUUUGUUUUGGGAAAAAUGUUUAGCCUUUACAACAGUUGUGUAAACGUUUGUGAAGAUAAUGUACGUGCAGAGAUACUCAAAUACGUUGUACAUUAGUGCAAGCUGGGUCGGGGUCAUAAAAUGACCUGGUAACAGCUUUGUAAAUCAAGAUAACAGACAAAUAAAUAUAACCUGUCAACGCUUAUCUAGAUUAAAACUGCUCUGGCGUUGCUAUGUUACACAGACCGUUGCCGUCAUUCACCAAAGUCAAGUGUAACCAACUGUCCUACUGAAGAUACACUAAUCCUGCCAGCCUUCUUUCUACCAUAACUGUGUCUUUUGGUCUGUUUUGAAAUGCUCAGAGAGAAAAAAUAUAUAAUCACACAGAAAAUAAUCAAAUAACAUUUUCAUAAUUGCAAAGAAAGUUGCUAUAAUCUACUUUUUCAAUGUUAAAAGACGGAUCCUCCACAGGCCAUCAACUAACAGUUGGGCACUACAGUCAGACCCUUCAUCAUUGGUCAGGCCCUUUUCUUCACGCAUGGAAGUUCUCAGCAGUCAUAAGAGAAGAGAAGCAUCCGUGAUGCUCUUCUGGGAAGAGAAGCAUCCGUGAUCAUUUAAUCAUUAAAUCGCAAGGAUUAGACAAGCAAACAUCUUCCACAUUGCAGCCGACUUUGAAGUCAAGUCAAGACUGACUGAUCCACAAAUAAAUCACCUUGUAUCAUAAAUAUCUACUCAAUAUUUUUUUUUUUUAAAUUAGGUCAGUCACAAUUUACCCAUAAUACAUCACGAUUUUGAAGCAGUUUAACCACCACCCUGUGACUGAGUACUGGGUUGCUGUGUGUGGUAGAGGGGAGAUAGCCUGGCCCCACAUUUGUUUGUGCUGUCAGUAAAUGACCAUAUGAGUUGACAAAACAACACAAACAAAUCUGGAACCAGGCUAGAGGACAGAGCAAAACAUGUUGACGUGGUUUAAUUCAUAGGCUGUUGAAAUUGAGCAUUUAUAACAUAUGUGUUUGAGAGAAGUGAUUUGACUGAAUUCAACUCACAGCCUGUCUCCUUACUACUGUAACCAGCUUGAUGUGGCUCUAUUAUAGCCUAAAAAGGAAUUGAAUCGGGGUCCAGUCUCAAUUAGCUUAAGAAUACACCAAAGACGUCACAGACUUCAUCAAGGCAAUUCAUUGUCUGGGAUUGUCCUGAGAGAGAUACAAACACAAUAAUAAUAUCUAAUACAUUCAGUAUUGUACAUGAAAGAAUAUUCCAAGUGACCAAAGAUUCCAAGUGACCAAAGAUUCUAAAUGACCAAAGAUUCCAAGUGACCAAAGAUUCUAAAUGACCAAAGCAUAUUACAUGUCAGUGGACGGACAGAAAGCAACAUUGUGAUUAAAAAGCUAAAGGUUGAAGGAAACAGAUACAGUAAUAGAAUAAUAACUGUUUACAGACACAAAACAAAAAGUUAAUGUGACAAGAGCUACUCAGAUGAAGUAAAAAAAAUUUUUUUUUAAAGUUUGUCCCUGCAAGGGCACCAUACCACCUCUCCUCUGCGGGCACUGUUGCUGAUGAGGGCAGCAGUGGAUGGCGAAGGGGGGCUCAUAUAAGGUCUGUGCUCAAUCCCUAGGCUCUGGUGCAGGGCAGUCUGUCCAUGUCGUGCCAUGGGGUCUCUUUAUCGGGGACCCAGGUGUUGCCCACCCACAGAACCCCGUUCAGGGAACCACAGAUCUGAGAGAGAGAGAGAGAGAGAGGACUGUUAGGCUUUUUCUCAAUUUCUUAGAAAUCUGUCCUCUCCUUGGCUCUGCCUCCAUCUGCACUGACCCAGAAAAGAUUGACAUGGGAAAACAAUAUGGUGGAAGCUCAUCAUUAGGUUGGUUUUCACUCGAUCAGUUUAUUUUUUAGAUCAGUGGGGAGAUAGAGAGAAAAAAAACAUGGACUGAGAAAAGACAUUAUCUCACCACAGGCAUGUUGAGACCAUGCCCUGUCCUCGGCACUGUGCCAGGGUACACGCUGUAGACCCCUGGCCCAUGACGACGCACUCUUCAACCACAGGAUGGUUGAGAGCACGAUCACCACAAUGUUCUGCCAGAAUGGAAGGAGACACACACACAAGGAGAGGCUGGAGGACGGCAGGGUAGCCUAGGGCUUAAAUUCGGGGCGGCAGGGUAACCUAGUGGUUAGAGCGUUGGACUAGUAACCGGAAGGUUGCAAGUUCAAACCCCCGAGCUGAACAGGCAGUUUACCCACUGUUCCUAGGCCGUCAUUGAAAAUA